rnacentral:lncRNA from 1 species
GUUAUAUAUCUUUUAUUUAAUAUUAGAUAAAAACAUUUAAAUAUGAUAAUUAUUAAAUCUUAUUGUAUUUUUAGUCAAUAAGUGAUUUUAAAUUUAAAUCUUGACAAAGACAUAUUUUAAUCAACUUUGCAAUAAUUUAAAACAAAUUUUCACAUAAAAUAUUUGACGUUUUUAUGAUUCAUAUAGUGACUAGACUAAAUGUGUCUUUUGCAUAAUGAUGCAAUCUUUAAAAUGAAUCUAAAUUUAUAAGAUCUUUCUUAUAGAUCUCAUAUUUUAUUAAAGAAACACAACAAGCAAGACACAAGUAGGUAGAAACCAGCAAGGUUAGACACAAGAGAAGUGUGGAAUGAGAUGCCUAUUACUUCUAAUAUCCUUUACUUAUAGGUAGAGUUUACAUCCCUUUUGGCUAGUGUUCAUUUUACUUUCAUCCAACUAAAUCCUAGAUUUCCCUUAACCUAUCCGCCACAUACAAUCCUAGCCGCCUGUCAUGGACAUACAUUGGAAGAUUCUUCGAAUAUUCUUCUAGAAUAUUCUCUAAAGAUUCUCUAAAGAUUCCUUUAGAAGGUUCUAGAAGAUUCUUAGAAUAUUCCCUAAAGAUUCUCUUAGAAGGUUCUAGAAUAUUCUGAUAGAUUUUAGGAAGUUGCUCGAGAAGUUUCCUAAUUAGUAAAAGUUGUUGGAGAAGCAUCCUAGUUAGCGGAAGUAGCUCGAGAAGCUUCCUAUUCAGUAGUAUAUAUAGGAGUCGAGGCUGAAGGGUUCUUCAGUCUCGACAACACAUCUCUUGGAGUUCUAGCUCACCUUUCUGGUGUUGUUCUUGUACUCAUCUGUUUAAUCUAGUUCUGCCACUUCUUCUUGAACUUCUUGUUAGAUUUCAAGUCUGUAUUUUGUGUCCGUGACACCGCCACCUUGAUAACUUUCCUUCAUCUUUUUGCUUCCCUUUGACCAUUAGCAACUUAUCUAAGAUAAUAUCUUUUACCUUCUAACUUAUCUUCUAUUUACUUUAAUAUUCCCACUUUGCUAUUGAUCAAAGGCUAGUAA